CUUCGGUUAACCACGGCAAACGGGUGAGUAAUACCUAGGAACAUCCCUUGAGUCGAGCAUAACCUAUCGAAAGGUAGGACAAUUCUCGAUGUGGCCCCUACGCAAGUAGUGGCUAAAGUCGCAAGACGCUCAAGAAAUGGCCUGGGCACCAUCAGCUAGUUGGUAGGGUAAAGGCCUACCAAGGCGACGACGGUUAGGGGCCCCGAGAGGGGAGACCCCCACACUGGAACUGCGACACGGUCCAG
rnacentral:rRNA from 1 species